AGCAAUUCUUUGCACGCUUUCUCCGUUGUCAAAAUGCUCAGUCCAGAGCUCUAAUUAAAUGCAAUAAUUGUCUUUUGCACGAAUCAAUGUCCUGCCGAUUAAACAAAGCUGUGAUUUUUCCCGACGCCUCUGUAUUAGGGCAAUGUGACGUCAUGGACUGUAUGUGACUGUACGCAGCGCGUGCUGCGGAGCGCGUGCUCUGAGCACAUGGAAAAGGGCUCGAGACAAAGUGCCCAAAGAAUAACUCAGCACCUGAAAUGGAAUAUCAGUAACAACUUAAUCAAUUCUGGAGCAAAAAGGACCUUCAGAACAGCUGCUAGUCAGCCUGUCGUUCUCUUGUUGGAAGCCUGAAACCGGAGCCACGAGUGAAUGCCAAACUUUUCAGGAAAAGACCUACGCAUUCUACCCCCCGUGAGCUGACAGCUCCUUGCCAUCAAAGUCAACGAUGCCGCUUUGCUGUGAAGAGAUGAAGAUCUGCUGUUGCCUGCGGACAGCUGGGUUUUACACAAUAGGCGUAAAGAUGUGGAAAAGGGUUAAAUGCUUUCAGAUGAUCUUUGCCGGUGUCACUUUUUGGGAAGUUGGACCAUCAUUUCUGUAACUCUGUGCAAGGUCCAUUUGACUCAGGGGUGAAUGAGCAGAGAGCCGAUGAAUGAGACCUUCCUCAUCAUUGACGGUGCUCUAUUACGUUUGCCUAUCUGUGAUUGGAUGGGACUGACUGGCGCGCAUUCCUGUCCUAUCACAUUUCACCGGGAGUCAUUUGAUGAAAGAUGAGUGGAUGAACAGCCUGCUGCGAAUGGCUGACUCUUCUGUUUCACUGAACGGCCGCCUCACAUGCAUGCAUGCACACAUACGUCACCUAGUCCUUUGAUUGUCUUUCACAAAACCCCCUGCUAUAAGGCUUCAUGGGAUGGGGAAUGUUAAAAAAAAUUGUAAAAAAAAAAAAAAAAAAAAAAAAUCUCAACUCCCUUAUACAGCCUGUUCCAGAAAUAGUAGGGUUUAUACAGCCAGCUCCGUUGCUGACCUAACAGAACUGGUCUUUGCCUGCGGACACACAGAGAGCAGAAAAGAUCAUUACACUGCAGUUCUGCUCUAGAACUGUAGUCCUAAGUCAACAUAUCUUCAUGGAAACCAUUUCCAGGUAUGCAAAUGGGUCCCAGAGGCUUGAGUUCAGGUUUGCUGGAAUAUAUGAAAAUUCGCUAUGGUGAUCUUGAGAAUAUUUCAAAAGUUGAUAUACAGAAAUGACAUGUUCCUAACAAAACACACUUGCCUUGAUAAAAUAUGCAUGCCAUUAAGAUAAAAAGUCUAGCCUACAGUCUAAAAUGCCUUUGGAGAAUCACAAGAUCUUUUAUUUUGUGGUUAAGUUGACUUGGAAUGUAGACCAAGUCGAGACCAAGACCAAUGCGUUUUGAGACCAAGACUUUUGGGGGUUUAUGUCAGUCAAGUCAAGUCACCUUUAUUUAUAUAGCGCUUUUUACAAUGCAGAUUGUGUCAAAGCAGCUUUACGGUGGUAACUGGCACAUCAUUUUGGCUGCACAGCAGCUCUAGAAGAAAAUUGUCCAGCUUAAGUAAAUUCAGUAUAUCAUUCCUUUUUGAUUUCAUUCAGCUUAUAAUAUGUUGCAUGUUCUUGUUAGCGUUGCUUUUAUUUCAGCCCAUAGGUCCAAAUGAUAUCUCUUUAAUAUUUUAGUUCUUUCAUCAAUGGACAGCAAAUGUAGGUGCUUGGUAAGUGUCCUGCUGCUUUCCUGAGGAAACCCCCCAACAUUUUCAGAUGUAAUUCUGCUGCAGUGAAGUGAGAGAGUGUCUAUCUUUCCUGUGAGUCAUACAUAUUUGAAUGGCACCGACAACUUCUGUAGGUUUAUUGUCAAUCAGCAGUCCUCAUAUAUCAGGGCAGAGGCAAGAGAUAUUGAAUGCGUCCGUGUGUGCGUGUGAACAUGUCAGGCUGGUCCUUUUUUAUACAGCCUCUCCCCUUCAUUCACAUUCCUGACAAAACCUCAUCACCAUCCCAGGAAUACUGCACAGCAAGCAUGUCUUUGCAACACUAUCUCUCCAAUGCUUUCACACCCUUCAGCCCCUCACAUGCUCAUAUUGUUGACAUAUAUCACUUGUGAAUAUGCAAUGUGGCUUUUACACAUGUCAGGGGAUAACAAAUACAUUUAAAGAGUGGUAAAGUACAGUUUGUAAACUCCUGUGUAUAAAUGAAUGUGCUAUAUUUGUAAGGAAAUUCAGAUGUGAAGUGCAAUAUAUCAUCAGGACACCAUGCAGAGUGACCUGUCCAAGUAAAAUACACACUUUGUAGACUUAUGGGGCCAAAUUUCCAUAUAUUUCAUAUUUUGGCAGAUUUUUGCACUAAGGAUAGGUUAAACCUUUAUCAGGUGCAUACAUGAAAGAGAUGAAAAGCCUUAUUGUAUUCUGUUGGUUGUAAAGUAAUAAAACAAUAUGAACACCA